rnacentral:rRNA from 1 species
GACGAACGCUGGCGGCGUGCUUAACACAUGCAAGUCGAACGGUGAACUCCGCUUGCGGGGGGUUCAGUGGCGAACGGGUGAGUAACACGUGGGCAACCUGCCCUCAGCUCUGGGAUAACUCCAAGAAAUUGGGGCUAAUACCGGAUAUGACCGCUGUCCGCAUGGUCUGGGGGUGGUAAGAUUUAUCGGCUGGGGAUGGGCCCGCGGCCUAUCAGCUGGUUGGUGGGGUAGUUGCCUACCAAGGCGCCGACGGGUAGCCGGCCUUGGAGGGUGACCGGCCACACUGGGACUGAGACACGGCCCAGACUCCUACGGGAGGCAGCAGUGGGGAAUAUUGCGCAAUGGGCGAAAGCCUGGCGCAGCGACGCCGCGUGGGGGAUGACGGCCUUCGGGUUGUAAACCUCUUUCAGCAGGGACGAAGCGAAAGUGACGGUACCUGCAGAAGAAGCACCGGCCAACUACGUG